rnacentral:rRNA from 1 species
AGUGAACGCUGGCGGUAGGCCUAACACAUGCAAGUCGAACGGCAGCACAGUAAGAGCUUGCUCUUACGGGUGGCGAGUGGCGGACGGGUGAGGAAUACAUCGGAAUCUACUCUUUCGUGGGGGAUAACGGAGGGAAACUUACGCUAAUACCGCAUACGACCUACGGGUGAAAGCAGGGGAUCAUCGGACCUUGCGCGAUUGAAUGAGCCGAUGUCGGAGUAGCUAGUUGGCGGGGUAAAGGCCCACCAAGGCGACGAUCCGUAGCUGGUCUGAGCGGGUGAUGAGCCACACUGGAACUGAGACACGGUCCAGACUCCUACGGGAGGCAGCAGUGGGGAAUAUUGGACAAUGGGCGCAAGCCUGAUCCAGCCAUACCGCGUGGGUGAAGAAGGACUUCGGGUUGUAAAGCCCUUUUGUUGGGAAAGAAAAGCAGCAGGUUAAUACGCCGCUGUUCUGACGGUACCCAAAGAAUAAGCACCGGCUAACUUCGUG